CAGCUGCAGCUGCUGGGAAUCCCGUUUCCUCUUCAUGGCCUAGCGGGUGCAAGCCCCGCUUUUAACGCAAGAAGGAGCGCACCUCGCUAUCCUUUGGCGAGGUUCCAGGUCUCAGAUGGAAGCUUCCCUGCAGAACUGGAAAAUCAGAAUAUUUUUCUCCAUGCUGCUGAUUAAAGUACACAACAUUGCUGCAGGAGGAGGUCACCAGUAGGGCUUUGUAAACCACUGUACCUUAACGAACAUUUACUUCCUCUUUCUAUUCCAUUGUUACUGCUACAAUUGCAGUCUUAGACUCACUCAACUUUGGAGUAAGUGCUGUGGUACAGUGUAGGUAUUAUUUUUGAGCAAAUGUGCAUAGAGUUCACAACAGAACCCUCACCCUUGCCGUCCCCUGGUUGUUCCAUAUAAAAGAAUAUAUGGGA